AGCUGGAUGGGUGAAGUGUUCCCUCAGUUCACAUAGACCAGGCUUCCUCUUUAGAGGCAUAAGCUGUAAAACAGGAGAGUCUGUUUUAAGAGGAUCUGUUUGAAGUUUAAUGUAACUGAAGUCCAUGCACCUGAAGCCAUUAAUUGAUAUAAGUGAAGUAAGUCUUUGGGUUUCCGGUAGCUCUGACUCAGAUUCUGCUUGCCUCUUCUCCAUGAGAUUACCAAGGCAUCAGGGCAGAGACUCCCUGAGGAUGAGUGGAUCUGGUUCAGAACAUCUGUGAACACAGAGGGAGUGGAAACUUCACUUUCAACAUCAUCAGCCAACUUCCCUCCCAUUACAAUUCUAUCUCAAGAUCAAGGUCAUGCAACAAAACCAGCAGUGGCCACAUCCACUACUCCUACAGUUCCGUUUCAGAGGCCAUCGGAGCUCUACAUCUAUUAUUUACUACCGAUAUCCACAUCAAGCCUCCCUCCCUUGCUCUUCAUGAAAUGCAUCCACGAUGGGACAUUGAUCUCAUUAUUCUGUGAGGAUCUGGUUGUUUGUCUGCAUCUUUCUCUACAUCUGGGAUCUGAAAUUUUCUUAUUGGAUAACGAAUCCCCAUCACAUACACACAUGAUAAAUAUUUGUUUAAUGGAAAAACAAAUGCAUGAGAGUGGCAUGAUGAAAACAGGUGAGUCUGGAUUAAAGCAAUUGGUCAUCUGUUUGGUCCAAUUCCCAGCAACCCAGGUUUGCAAAAGUGUGUGUUGCAAGAGCUGCUCUUGCUAUGAAAUGAUGCCAUGAAUGUAUAACCUGUUACUUACUUUAGAAUCCUUUUUACUUAAAAAAUAAUCUGACAAUGUCCAUUUCAAUACGUGGUUUUAAUGACAUGACCCCCUAACUACACUUUCUGAUCUGCAAAUUCCUGUUCUCAUGUAUUGUAUGGUUUUACAAACUGCACCUGUUUGAAAUGAACACAAAGCAAGAAACUGUUUAUGCAGAAAAACCAAGUGCUCUGCAUUCUCCAGUUCCUCAAGGAGAAUGUUUAUGUGGUUUACCUUGCGAAGCCAAAGGUCUUUUGCAGCACUUAUGCACCUGAAGGAAGCCCUGAGGGAUGGCAGAGUUAGCCUUCUGGUGGGUGAAGGUGCCAUGUGUCUUGUCUAUUUUAUCUCCUUCACCCACUACCUACCUCCUCCACCACCCC
rnacentral:lncRNA from 1 species